rnacentral:rRNA from 1 species
UCAGCAUACUGCGGUGAAUACGUUCCCGGGUCUUGUACACACCGCCCGUCACACCAUGGGAGCCGGAAUGCCCGAAGCCAGUGACCCAACCUUAGGGAGGGAGCUGUCGAAGGUGGAGCCGGUAACUGGGGUGAAGUCGUAACAAGGUAAC